AUGAGGUCAGCUUUCCAGACCCUAGCAGUGGCCCUCUGCAUGUGGCUGUACCCCUGCAGGCCCCCGGGUGCUCUCCUCCUGGGAGGGACCUCAAGAUGGAGGCUGCAGCCCCUGUACCCAUGGAGCCGCCACUGUGGCAUCCCCAGCCUGCAGGCCUCUGCUCAGAGGAGCCAAUGCCUCCCUCUGCAUCAAGCCCAGCAUGUGAUUCCUGGGGACCAGGAGGAGACGCCCACCCCACCACCACCUGGGGCCCCCGGGCAGAGGAUACUCGCCCGGGACCCUCACCAGAUGCGCGGGCUGUGGCCGCCCCAGCCUGGCCCACGGCUGCGAGAGUCUGAGCCAUCCCACCUCUCACAGACAGGACAGGCUGUGAAUGACCACGUCUCUCAGGGCCCACACUGCCCCCAGGCUGACCUCCCCAGCACAGCCUCUCUUGGCUCAUGGGGGACGGGAGGGACCCUCGGGUGUGGAGUCUUGCCCUCACCCCAGGGACCCUGGGUGCUGGGGGAGGUGGUGGGUUCUGCCCAGGCACGUAUGGGGCUCACGACGCCUCUCCGGGACAUGAUCAGAGCCAGGGUGAAGAGGAGGGCUGGGUGGGCUUGUGGGGCUGGGUGGGGGUAAGCUGGCUGGAGGCCCACAGGCCCAUGUCUAGCUGAGCCCAGCCUCGCCGUCCCUCUGCUACUCCUAGGCUGGGAACAGGUGGCCUGGUGCCCUUGGUUUUCCGUUCCCAGCGCCGGCCACCGCAGGUGGGGUGGGUAACGGGGGCCUUCCUUCCUUUGCAGCAGAUGGUAAAGGAGCCGUGGUGACUUGGCCAUGAACAAGGGUGGCCCCUCCCUGCAGGGGACACUGCCAGGGCAGGAUGCUCGAGGUGGGCUUGGUGGAGGAGGGGCUGGCCGUGCGAUCAGGAGGCUCCUGAAGGUGGGCAACCUCCUCUCUACCUCAGGGCCAGGCCCCUGCCAUCCUCCAUGGUGGACCUGGUCGCGUGUGGUUGUGCAGGUUGGACACUGCUCCCAGGACCUGGGGCAUCUUUCUAAAGUGUGAAUUGGACGUCUUCGUGCAUCAGCUCAACCCACUCACUGCCCGAAGGAUGAAGCCCCAGUCCUCGGCCCCUGCCUGUCCCCCAAUCCCCCACCUCAUCCCCUGUGACUCCUCUGAGAGCCAGGUUGGCGAGCCGCCCUGCUGUCCCCAUCAGUGCCCGGUCACACGUGCCAUUGCUGUGUGGUCCCCGGGACAUCUCCUCCCCGGUCUUUGGGCGCUGCCACACCCGGAGUGGCCUAAAU
rnacentral:lncRNA from 1 species